UGUAUACUGGUGUAAACGGCACGAAAAGUUUUGAUCUUUUAAAGAAUUGGUGGAAUUCGUAUACAA
rnacentral:tRNA from 1 species